UCUCUUCUGGCUCAGCGGGUAAAGAAUCCACCUGCAAUGUGGGAGACUUGGGUUCGAUCCCUGGGUUGAGAA
rfam:TPA: Bos taurus chromosome 24, whole genome shotgun sequence.